CUAUACUAUUCAGAGUUUGAUCCUGGCUCAGGACGAACGCUGGCGGCGUGCCUAACACAUGCAAGUCGAACGGAGUUCAUUGGAUUGAGGCUUCGGCCAAAUGAAUUUGUACUUAGUGGCGAACGGGUGAGUAACGCGUGAGCAACCUGCCUUUCAGAGGGGGACAACAGUUGGAAACGACUGCUAAUACCGCAUAACACAUCGAGGGGGCAUCCUCUUGAUGUCAAAGAUUUAUCGCUGAAAGAUGGGCUCGCGUCUGAUUAGAUAGUUGGUGGGGUAACGGCCCACCAAGUCGACGAUCAGUAGCCGGACUGAGAGGUUGAACGGCCACAUUGGGACUGAGAUACGGCCCAG
rnacentral:rRNA from 1 species